AUUAUUAAUAUGAUGACAAUUUCAUACCCACAACUGAGCUAAAAUGCUGAAUUUUUAUACACAUGCACUACCAUCUGAAUUGUAAUU